GAGAUUCCUUCCUCGGUCCCACUGCUCCUUGGACCCGAGGCCCGAGCCCGCGCUGCGGCGCGGAGGCUUCUUGCCUCCUCCGCCGCCGGUGCCCCGAGCUUCGGCGCGACUGCGGCCGUGACCCCCGCCGCGCGUCGCUGUCCACUGCUCCUUGGCCCCUGCAGCAAGCCGCUCGAGGUUCCUGACGCCUUGAGGCCCGAGCCCACGCGGCGGCUUCUUGGCUCCUCCGCCGCCGCUGCCUCGAGCUCCGCGGUGACCGCGGCCGUGACCUCCGUCGCCGUCGUGGUAGCCACCAGCCGUCUUCUUCAGUCUCUCCAGAAUCGAAUCCCCAUUCCCUUUCUCCCGUAUCUCCAGAAUCGAAUCCCCAUUCCCUUUCUCCCGUAUCCCCUACACUGUUCCCCCAUCAGUGCCUCUUAUUUUUGUACCCCCUUCCGCUUGGUGAUGUGAAUAUUCAAUUUGUCAUUCUGCACAAACAAGCAGAAGCUGGAGAGUUGGAAUUGGCUUCUAGCAUCCCUGAAUUAGAGUCAAAGUUGCGUGAGCAGGGUUUGAUGAACAAAUUGAACAGGGUACCAACUUGUGUUAAUUUUCACCAAGACCAUGUACCAAAGAGGUUGCCUUAGCUCUUCCCUACACGGCAAAAACCCGCAGCAUCAAAUUGUUUUUCAUCAGCACCCAACAAUGGUGGUAGAGUAUAACUCAUUUUGAAGUUGUCGAGGCAGUGCCAUUGGAAGUUGUGGUGCUGUGCAAUAGAAUGUUGAGCUGGGACAAGUUUCUGAUCAGUAGUAAAUUCAUGGCUGAUUUUGGUGCCAUUGGAAGUGCCAAAAUCUGACCAUUGGAAGUUCAUGCAGGCGGACCACUAGAUUAAUCCUGCUGAAUCAUUGUACCAACUAUACUGUUUAUGGCUGGGAAUUGUGGCGACAUCCCAGGAUUGUUGAUUGACCUCUUGGAGAUGAUCUUGCAUCAAUGUAGUAGCCAUGUUUUGCGCCCUUGCUGGUCAAAUAUUUGAUAUUUUGGCAUGUACUACUAAUCUUGUUAUGGACUUAUGGUCAGUGCAUUUGUUGUCUGGAUAUGGUUGGUACGCUGUAACCCUUGUAUAUUGAGCAUUUUCCCAUCUGAAACCAAUCUACAUUAUGCCCAAA